CAGGACUUUUAUGAUAUAUUCAAGGCCCUGAUGACAGAUGAUAAAAAAAAAAGGAGCCCACCACCCAACAGAGAAAUUUUUUGAAGUGCACAGAUAAUGUCUUCUACAAUUUAUUUUCUCUGCUGAAAAAAGAAACUCAUGCAGGAAACAUUUUAGACCCAAGUAAAUAAAACAGAGAUGCCCGCAAUUUCCUGCAAGUCUGAUUAAAAAUAGGAACUCUGCAAUCAUGAAAGUCGUCAUCUGGCAGCUGGAAGGCCAUACCUUAGGAAGCUGAAAUUGCUGGCAGCUGCAGAAAGCAGUGGGUGGCAGGUGUUCCCGCACGCCCUUUGGGGAGGAAAAGGGCUACAUUUCAGAGGCUUAUAUGCGCUAAUAUACAAAUGGCUUCUAAAUAAUAAAAGCUAAAGCCAUUGCUGAAUGAAGAUCCUCUGUUCUUCCACAUUUUGCAAGGACUGGGAUGUUUGUUUGUGGAAAUGAGACAAGAUGGCUGGCUCACUGACAGUUUAGGUGAGGAAGAUUGUUGCUGAGCUAACACCUGUGCCCAUCUUCCUCUGUUUUGUACGUGGAGUACAGCAUGACUUGAUGAGUGGUGUGUAGGUCCGUGCCUGGGAUCUGGACCUGUGAACCCCAGGGCCGCCGAAGCAGUGUGCGUGAACUUAACCACUAUGCCACCAGAAUGGCCCCCACCUCAUUUAUUUUUUCUGGGGAGUAAAAUGUAUAUGAAAGUGGUAAAUAGGUUAUAAAUUUUAUGCAAAAAAGAACAUUUCCCAAAUUCAAUAUCAUUAAAAAAUACCAAAUAAUCAACAGUUUAUUUUCUUCUAGAAGGGAUGCUUGAGACAAGCAUGGAAACUGAUUACUUGUGUCCAGUCUGUGGUUGGAUAGCUCUCUGGUUAGAGCCUGGUGUUGAUGAGGCUGAAUUAAGAGGUGCAUCACAUAAGCACCAGUGUUAGAAGAACACAGGCUACAGUCUAGGCUUUAGCCUGGUGUCCUGCCAUUAUUACAGGGAGGCCUGAGAAUAUCACCACUACUCCCCAAAUAAUUUUAGCAGUGUUUAUCCUACUGUGGGUAUAAGUUAGAGGUGAAAUACUUGGGCAUUAGAAACAAUCUUUAUGCAAGGUUUUAAAAGCUUAUAAGCCAUUCCCAGUAAUUAUCCAAAAAUCAUCCAACCACCCAAUUCUAUACUUCCUAUAAUAAAUCCAAAGAACAAUGCCUCGCACAGGGUGUCAGGGUGUAAUUCCAGGGUAUGAUUUGAGGAACACCCUAAGGAACUGUUCCCAAUAGGAUUUACCUUAUUCUUUGUCCCCACAUCCUAAUGUGAGAACCCCUGCAAUUCUCAUAUUAGCAAUCCUCCUUCAGGUUAUUUGCAUUUACUUCAGAAGUAACAUCCUAAAAUAUACACAAGGUACUUAGGAUUGGUGACAAAUUUGCACAUCACCCUAUGAUUUCACUUAUCAGAUCAACUAGACCAUUUGUUUAUUCAUUCAACAAGUAUUUGCUCAGAACUUACUCUGUACCAGUCAUGAUACUAGGUGUGUUUACACAAACCAAAAACAGCACAAUGGCAUAGGGUUUUGAGGGUGGGAGAAGGGUGGAAAGAGACCACAAAAUGUCCAGAGCUCAGGGCCUUAUCAGAGGGGAUACCAUAUGUGUGCCUGGUUAGCCUAAUCAGGGGGUAAAAAUUGGCAAAGAGGCAUGUCUGAGGAUAUUGCAUAAAUUAUAACGAUAUUUACAAUUACCUGAGCACUCAUUACGUGCUCAACUGAGUGGUAAUAUGUUAGAGAUUUCUUUAUCUUUAAUUCUUCUCUUACAUGGUGGGUAUUGUGAUGCCCAUUCUUUUGAUGAGAACCUUGAAAUUCAAAAAGGAUGUGAUUCACCCGUGUGCAAGCAGCUGAUCCAUCAUAGAGUCCGGAAUCAAAUCCAAUUCUGCCUUCAGAGUCUGCACUCCUUUCACUGUGUGACAUCCUCCUCCUGUGGGUCUGAAUUAGUAAAACGUCUUCUCCUUCACCCAAAAUGUGGCAACUUAAAAAAAAUUGCUGAGACUUUUAGUGGUCUCUUGAAAAGAGCAAAUACUAAAGGGAAUCUCUCAUCCUUACAGAAGGCUUGUCAUGGUUCUGCCCUCAUCAGUUUUGUUUCCUGAGGAAAAGCUAAGAAGAUACACUAACAGAUUACUCAACAAAUGUUUGCUGAGUGAAUAGCACUAUAAUUAAGCAGUUAGAAGUCACGCAACACUUUAUAACACGUAAAACACAAGAAGAUGUCUCAAUUCCUCCCUAAGACUCAUUUCCCAUUAAAUCCCAAUUUUCCACUUGAGAAACUGCAGACCCUCCCGGCAUCAACAAAGAUUAGACAGUAUUUCCUUGCCAGACUGAUGCUGUUAAGAAGCAAACUGUAACAAAUCAGGGCUGGACCAAACAAAAGACCAAUAAAUGAGUAACUUUGCUCAGUGACCUUCUAGCUUUCUUGGGUUGGCACCUUCCACAGAGAAAUAAAACAGGGCAGAGAAGAUGACCAAAAGUUUCAGGAAGUUCUAUCCCCUUUCUUGGAAUUUGUUAAUGGGGUUGGUUCCCGCGGAUGGCCUCUCUCUUAAUUACUCCUUGGCAGGCUCAGAACCAUGAAGUUCCAUGGAAUGGGUGCGUCUGCAGACUAAUGUUUGUCUCUCCAACUGGCUUAAUGAAAAACACCAGGACCAUGCCCACCCAGACCCCAACAAGAGGGGAACAAAAGCCUUGAUCAGUUGCUUCUGGAGAUGUGGUUGCCCCUAACACCCACUGUUUGUUUUCAGGGCACAGCUGAUGUAACUCAGUAGCAAGUGUCCGGUCGAUGUGAAAGUGAUAGAAACAAAGAGAAAAUUUUCCCCAACAAAAACUAGCAAAGCCUGAAGAAGUCUCCAAACCAUGGAGAAGGGCCUUGUACUUCUCUGACCUGGCCAAAACACCAUUUCCACUUCAACUCUGUGAAGAGCAGCAAACAGAUCUAAGGCUCAUGUAACAUCCUCACCUGUGUAUUCCUACCUGUGAUGCAUCGUAGUGAAGUUAUCUUGGCUCUUGCUUGAUUGAAGGCGGGAAAGAGAAAGAGGCCAGGGUCUUCCCACUUCCCUUACCUGUCUUCCAUCUGUACCCCCAUGGUUUCCAGUGGUGGCUGAGUCUUCUCCUUGUCUCCACUUCCCACUGGACGGGCCCACUAUGGUCCCAGCUUCUAUCAAGUAACCUUGGAUACUGGGCUCCAGUAUCACCAACCCCUCUUUUUGUUCUUCCAGCCCUAGGGGUGAUCAUGUCUUCCUGUUGUUGCUAGUCUCCAGGUUGCCUCGCCAUCUCAUUUGGCUUCUCAGCUCCUCCAUCACCUGUGUGACCUGUUCCCUGAAUAAAUCCACUCUGUUGUCAGCCCUUGAAGUGGUUCCUGUUUUCCUGAUUAGACCUCGACCAAUACAUGUGUAUUCUUCCCUUUACUGUGAUGGCACUACCCAGGAAGGCAAGACACCAGACACAAUUUCAAGUCAUCUGCCUCCAAAGCCAAUACUUUUCCCUCUGUCUCUUCCUGCCAGCUAGACUGUGGGCUCACAUCAAGGGUGUGAAAAAUUGGGAAUGCACUUAGAGGGCUCUCAAAGCGUAUCCAGUGGGCAAAUAAUUCUGGCAUGUUGGGACAUCCUGGGUUUCAUGUGUCCUUGCAGCUAGCUUUUGGCCAGGAGGGAGGUGAUGCCAUUCUGGGAUGAGGGAGUAUGGCUCCGUCCGUUCACCUCUGUGACCUGGGGUAGUGGAAAGAGCUUGAUAUACAAAAAAAAUGCCCUAUAAAUAAAAAUUAGUUUAGGACACUUGUUAGUCAGGACACUUUGUAGCAACAGGAGAUAGAAACUCAAUCGAAUUAACUUAAGCAAAAUUAAAAAAUUAUUGACUGAGAAGUCCAGAGGUAGCACGAGCUUUCAAUAUGGCUGGGUACAAGUUUCGAGCAAUGCCUGCAGGAACCUGCUCUGUCUCUCUCCAUUGCUCUCACUGGCUUUCCUUUGUGCUGGUUUCAUUCUCAGACAGACCCUUUCCCAUGAUUGCAACAGGCCUCCAACAGCUCCAGGUAGCACGAAGUUUUAACACCCUCAGUCUCAGAAGG
rnacentral:lncRNA from 1 species